rnacentral:rRNA from 1 species
UACGUAGGGUGCAAGCGUUAAUCGGAAUUACUGGGCGUAAAGCGUGCGCAGGCGGUUGUGCAAGACAUAUGUGAAAUCCCCGGGCUUAACCUGGGAACUGCAUUUGUGACUGCACGGCUAGAGUGUGUCAGAGGGGGGUAGAAUUCCACGUGUAGCAGUGAAAUGCGUAGAUAUGUGGAGGAAUACCGAUGGCGAAGGCAGCCCCCUGGGAUAACACUGACGCUCAUGCACGAAAGCGUGGGGAGCAAACAGG